UUGUGAAAUACAAUUAUUGGAAGAAGGGAAUGCCAAGAAUUUUAUACAAGUGGGAAUAAUGGAAGCCACUUUUCACCUAUAGGACUACACCUUGCAUAAUUGGAAUGCUUAGGUACAUAUGUUGUGCAACUAAGAAAAGGUCCACUCCUACUUUAUAAAGUCUAGCCUAUAUAGGAAGAUAAAUUAAGAAAAAGACAAUUGAUAAAGGAAGUUGAUCUAUGAGGAGAUCUCUUCCAUGUCCUUCUCGGUUCCUACACCCUCACAACAAGCCAAAGAUCUUCUCCAACCUAUCAAAUGAGACACAAAAAUAGUAAGAUUUUUACCCAACCAAAAUUCACAAGUGUACAACAAAUGCAUCAAAUAAAGGAGAGAAAUGAUGCUUGGUGAUUUCCAUAUCUUCUCAAAGAAGUAAUAGAAACUAAGGACCAAGUGAUGGUGAGCUCAUCUCCUUAACUCUCCCCAAUGCCUUACACCGAUUAGGAAAGAUGCUCUUUUACCAUGCUAAAGGGUGAGGGAAUCCAUAGCUAGAAAUACAAGAGCACCCUUCCCAAUACUUACACCAAAUGGGUAGUGAAACUUUUAGCCUAAAUUCAAAAAAGAUGAGGGAAUCUUUAUCCAAAAUUAGCCACAAAAUACCAAGACUUUUCUCUUAUAAAAGCAAACAAUCACCACUCCUCCUUCACCACUUUCCAACACCAUAAAUUUCAGAAUAGAAGCAAGAGUGAGGAGUGGGAGCAAUCAGCGGAGAAAUCUAGAAACCAAGGGGAACACCAAAGCAAGGCUAUCUCCGCGAGUUAAGGGUGGAGUCAGGAAAAUUCAAGUUACGGAGUUUUAAGCAAAUAAGGUGGGCUUUCUAGUUACUAUACAGUUUUUACGAAAAGUAUUUUACGAGCUUUCUAUAUUGAUAUAUGAUUAUGGGCUUUAUUUUAGAAUUGAGAAAAUAGCUUUGAAGUAUGAUUUCAGUUGUUUGCAGUAUGUGCAGUUAUUUACAAAAAGUGAGAGUGAUGUUAUUUAUAUUAUGUGACAUUAUGUGUUACUUAACGAGUACACAUGAACGGUUAGCCUUUGUCGACAUUGUGUUCGGCUUUGACCCAUAAAAAUGAGUUUUGAUUCAAAUAGGUUUACGAGAAAAAUGAAGUUUUGAAAGUUAUGACAAGCCAGGUUUUGUUUUGAACUUUGCCUAUCUGAAUGUCUAGCAAGGACGAUGUCCCUACUAGACCAGGAGUUAGUGAAUUCGGUUCACCAGGAGUUUUGUGAAUUCAAUUCACCAGGAGUUUUGUGAAUAUGUUUCACCAUGAGUUUUGUGAAUUUAUUUCACCAGGCGUUUCAUGAAUUCGUUUCAUCAGGAGUUGUGUGAAUACGUUUCACCAGGAGUUUCAUGAAUACGUUUCACCAGGAGUUGUGUGAAUACGUUUCACCAGGAGUUUCGUGAAUACGUUUCACCAGGGGUUUUGUGAAUUCAUUUCACCAGGAGUUUCGUGAAUUCAUUUCAAUAGGAGGUUGAGGAGUGAUGAUGGUGGGCGGUGUUGGUCACAGACGAUGAAGAUUCUUCGAUAGAAUAGUACUUGGAUGUGUCGUGUCUGCUCUUGACUCUUCCGCUGCAAUGUAAAAAUCUAGUUUACAUUCUUUGUAUCAUGCACUCUGAUUUAUAUUUAUUCCAAGUUAUUUCAGUUCAUGUUCA